rnacentral:rRNA from 1 species
GGUGGAGCGAUUUGUCUGGUUAAUUCCGAUAACGAACGAGACUCUGGCCUAUUAAAUAGACGGUAUAUCGAAAAGUAUGCCGAACUUCUUAGAGGGACAAGCGGCGUCUAGCCGCAUGAAAUAGAGCAAUAACAGGUCUGUGAUGCCCUUAGAUGUCCGGGGCUGCACGCGCGCUACACUGAAAGAAUCAGAGGGCGCUUCGCCUGGUUCGGAAGAACCGGGUAACCCAAGUAAAUUCUUUCGUGCUUGGGAUAGGGAAUUGCAAUUAUUUCCCUCGAACGAGGAAUUCCCAGUAAAUGCGGGUCAUAAGCUCGCGUUGAAUACGUCCCUGCCCUUUGUAC